CAGGAGAGCGUUCAUUUGCUACAACACACCUACGACAACAAAACAAGUGUUCAGACUGAAGUUUCACACACAGGACUCCUCUCUGGAUCCGAAUGACCCUGCUGUGAUGGAGGACACCUUGAAGAAGCUCAAACAGAAGCUGAAGGACCAGGGGCUGGGUGACAACAUCAAACUGAGCUGGAGGAAGCAGCCAGAUGGAACAGUCUUCCACAAGGAAGAGAAGAAGA